GGCAGGAAAAAUGAAUUUUCUCCUACAGCUUCCACGAAGGAACGCAGCCCUGUGGACAGACACCUUGAUGUUAGCCCAGUGAGACCCAUGACAGACUGCUGACCUCCAGGACUAUGCUGCCAUAUCUGGCUGUGGGACCUAGGUCUGUGCAGCCGUCUUGCCACUUUGAGGAAGCUGGCCUGAAGAUAUGUCCACAUAAUGACGAUGGCAGAGCAGAAAUAAAGGCACGACAUGGAGAAGCUGUGUUGACCAAUCUUCAGGUUAUCCUGCCUCAAGCCUCUUUUUAUAAUUCCAGUGAGCUGACUUUCAGAGUUCUCGCGCUGGCAGUGUCCCCAGGGCUUGCAUUAGGUGCGUGCACUUUCUUCUGCUCCAGCUGCAAAGAUACUCCAAAGCAAGACUCCACCACAGUUGUGUGCUGCCGGCGGACAGCAGAUGACUCGCCAGGCUGCCCUCUGGGUCUCCAGCAUUCACAGACACAGAAGCACAUCUGUUUACCACCCUAUGCCCAGUGCCUGGCCCAUGGUCAGGCCUUCAUUUUUAAGCCUCUGGGGAGAAACAGCAUAUGGAGGAGGAAGUCUCAAGAGAUGAAAAUUCAUCUGCCCUGUGGCCUUAAAAGGGAGAAAUGGAGGAGUCAAUGUCAAAGGUUAAUCAGCGUCCACCAGUUGAUCCAGCCAUUCACCUCUCAAGGUUUCUGAGCUGCUCUCUGGAUACUGCAGGAAUCCAGACCAUUGCUCAGGUGUCUGCAGAAAAGGGGCAAACAGUCACUGUUACAAGGCAACAGUGGGGAAAAGAUGAAAGAAACUAUCAACUACUUCUCAGUAACACAGACUCCUACACUUACAAGAGCUGCCUUUUACCUCACACGACCGCAGUCUCCUCCACAUUAUUCAAAGCAGCCCUCAUCCCCCCUAGAUUGUCUCACAUUUUUAAGUUGAGUCCAAGUUUCCCUCUACAAUUUCUUCAGUGUUGAUUUGGGAGAAGGGAAUUUACAAGCUCAUGAUGAUUACUAUAUUGAUAGGAACCGGAAGUUCCUACCAAUAAGGGGAAAAAUAAAAACACUAUAAAUAUCCAUGAAUAAGGCAAUGGUUAUAUUAAUUGUGAUGUAUUUAUAUCAUAGAAUACUCUGCAUCUGUUUAAAAAAAAUGAGGUGGAUUUAAAUGCACUGAUAGAGGAAGAGGACCAUAACAUUGUAAUAGAAAUGAAGCAGGAAAAUACAUAUACCGUGAUGUCAUUUUGUAACAUCUUUACGAAUACGUAUUUGUAUAUAAGCAUAAGAAAAGUCUCAGUGGAUAUACACUUAGUAAAAAUUGUCAGAGUUGGGUAAACAAAUCAGAAGAGACUUUCACUUUUUGCUUUACACAUAUUUAAAUUAUUUGGAUGCUUUCUAAGUAUUUAUUAUGUGUCACAAUGAAUCCUUAAAAAAAUGGAGAGGAUAGAUUCUUAUAACCAUACUGGGUGGAAGGUCCCCUUACAGGAUGCUACUUCAUUCUUCCUAAGUGUCCCACACAUUGUACACAUCUCUUUUCUGUCCCUUUUCCACAAAAGCAAAAAAUUCCCUUGCACUCUAUCCUGGGAAAUUGUCAGUUGUUGAUAAUUGUUGGUUGUUUAUUGAGUAAAUAACAUUAAUAAAUGAAUGAAUGCAUGAAAUAAAACUGGAGAAGCUAUAUCAAAUAAAAUUACAGUUUUCUUCUUUGAUUGCUUAUUUAUAUAGUUAUUCCAAAUUGAAGGUCAAUCUAACUCACAAUUUUUACCUCCUUAAUAGGAUGGAAACACCAUGCUUACCUUCAUUUAUUCACCAUUACGGACAUAUCCCUCAGGAUACAGCCAGUUUCUCCUCUCUUCUCACAACUUCCUCAGAAAAAAGUUGGAAGUCCAUAAAAUUAGACUCUUGCAUUUCAUAGAGGUAUCUCGCUUUUGUAAACGGUGUAGUUCUCUGAAUUCCAGAAGGCCUGUAUUCACAGCUAUUUAUAGAAAAAGAGUUGCUUGCAAAAAUAAAAGCAGAAUGAUUUUUUUCAAAAACAUAAAUUUGGAAAUGUAACAACCAGUUGUCCAAGUAUCUAUUGAAAGGAGGUCUGUUAGUUCUCUAACAGUUUUAAUGCAGGUGGUAUCAUUUGAAGUUAAUAAAAUUGUUGGAGCUGGUAUACUUACUACUGGUUGGUAAUUUGUUCAUGAUCAUAAGCAAGUGAUGACCAAUCAAACUUUUGAAUUCUGAAAGCU
rnacentral:lncRNA from 1 species